rnacentral:rRNA from 1 species
CCCUUAGAUGUUCUGGGCCGCACGCGCGCUACAUUGAUGCAUUCAACGAGCCUAUCCUUGACCGACAGGUCCGGGUAAUCUUUGAAUCUGCAUCGUGACGGGGAUAGAUUAUUGCAAUUAUUAAUCUUCAACGAGGAGUGCCUAGUAGGCGCAAGUCAUCAGCUUGCGUCGAUUACGUCCCUGCCCUUUGUACACACCGCCCGUCGCUCCUACCGAUUGGGUGUGCUGGUGAAAUGUUCGGAUCGGCCGUUUGUCGCGGUUUCCGCGUCAUGUGGCUGAGAAGUUCAUUAAACCCUCCCACCUAGAGGAAGGAGAAGUCGUAACA